CCGGAAGUGUUUCCGCCCGGAAAAACAGAACACCGGAACUUCCGGUAGCGCCGUAAGAGGGAAAAUCAGGGAAUUCGAUGCACCUGUGCCUAGUUAGGGACAGCGGUUGGUGAUUGGAGGAUACGCUGGACAAGGCAGUACUUAAGGCCAAGUUAUUUCACAGUCUGGGAGCUCUUUCUGGUGUGUGUGAAGCACUGUGUCGUGCCCGUCUUGGUGCGCUGCUGGUGGCUGUCUAACUCUCUCUCUCCCUCAGGCUGGAAUUGUAUGAUUGUGAAGACAUCGCGAACCUUAAAGGUUGAGAAGUGAACGGAUUAUACGGCGAAUUGAGACGACGUGAAAAAGGGGAUUGGAAGCGGCAUUGAUGUGAGUACUAAGAGCAAGCCGAAAGUGCCCUGUAUAUUGACCUGGCGUUGUGUAGAUCUCCCCAGGAGGAGGAGGGCGGCCCUACCCCUAAUAUAGCGUGGUGGGAGAGCCGAAGGAAUACUUAUUGAAGUAGUCACAACGACGACAUCACUAGCUAGGCCGCAUAUUCCAUCGCCAGAUCCGAACCAAGCGAAGUGAAGGAAGACGGGUGUCCUUUUCGUACACUGAGUGUGGUGGGUGAGUCUUCGUGCUGUGAAAACCUAUAAUUUUGACGUGGUGCUGUAUAUUGCUGUGGGUUGCUGUGUAUUGCCGUGUGUCCUGUCAGAUAAACCCCCGCCUUCACGCACUCCGUCGCGGGAGGACAAGGAGACUGCUGGUUCUAGCCUAGUUCAGUACAGUAUAUGUUGUGAGCGUGCUUCAGAUCUCCGGAGAUAGCACGGUACGCUGUGUUCAGCCCAGAGGUGAGAGCCAUUCAAAGCAGAGUAACUGUGUUUUGUGUCCAAGUUGAUACCUGUGGAGAGAAAAGGAGAGAGAGUGGGUAACACGAGGAGAGACCGAGGAAACCUGUACUUACGCCGCUGCCUGUGGAGAAAGAGAAAGCGACCGUUGCCUGUGGAGGAAGAGAAAGAGAGUGAGCACCCCGAGAACGAACUGUGUGAACCAGUACUUACCGUGAGUUGUAUUCAGCGAAGAGGAGGAAGAAGGAGGGCGCUACGGAUACCUAAGACUCUGGCCGGGCCCCGAGUCCCACG